UACGUAGGGGGCAAGCGUUGUCCGGAAUCAUUGGGCGUAAAGCGCGUGUAGGCGGCUCGAUAAGUCUGCUGUGAAAGUCCAAGGCUCAACCUUGGGAUGCCGGUGGAUACUGUCGAGCUCGAGUCCGGAAGAGGAGUGUGGAAUUCCUGGUGUAGCGGUGAAAUGCGCAGAUAUCAGGAGGAACACCAAUGGCGAAGGCAGCACUCUGGGACGUGACUGACGCUGAGGAGCGAAAGCGUGGGGAGCGAACAGG
rnacentral:rRNA from 1 species